CUGGUUGAUCCUGCCAGACCUGACUGCUAUCGGGAUACGACUAAGCCAUGCAAGUUGAAUGGUUCUCGUAACCAUAGCGUACUGCUCAGUAACACGUAGAUAACCUACCCUAAGGUUGGGACUAAUCCCGGGAAACUGGGCAUAAUCCCCAAUAGAUAAGCUGUACUGGAAUGUCUUCUUAUUCAAACCUCCGGGGCCUUAGGAUGGGUCUGCGGCGGAUUAUGGUAGUAGGUGGGGUAACGGCCACCUAGCCUUUGAUCCGUACCGGACAUGAGAGUGUGUGCCGGGAGAUGGCCACUGAGACAAGGGGCCAGGCCCUACGGGGUGCAGCAGGCGCGAAAACUCUACAAUGCCCGAAAGGGUGAUAGGGGAAUCCCGAGUGCUUCCUUAGCCGGAAGCUUUUCCCGAGCGUAAUGUUCUCGGGGAAUAAGGGGAGGGCAAGGCUGGUGCCAGCCGCCGCGGUAAAACCAGCUCCCCGAGUGGUCGGGAUGAUUAUUGGGCCUAAAGCGUCCGUAGCCGGUCGUGUAAGUCGUUGGUGAAAGGUCGGGUCUUAAGCCCGAAUUUGCUAGCGAUACUGCGCGACUUGGGACCGGAAGAGGCAAAUGGUACGUUGAGGGUAGGGGUGAAAUCCUGUAAUCCCCAACGGACCACCGGUGGCGAAGGCGAUUCGCUGGGACGGAUCCGACGGUGAGGGACGAAACCCAGGGGAGCGAGCGGGAUUAGAUACCCCGGUAGUCCUGGGUGUGAACGAUGCGCACUAGGUGUUGGCGAAGCUACGAGCUCCGUCGGUGCCGAAGCGAAGGCGUUAAGUGCGCCGCCUGGGGAGUACGGUCGCAAGACUGAAACUUAAAGGAAUUGACGGGGGAGCACCACCAGGGGAGGAGCCUGCGGUUCAAUUGGACCCAACGCCGGAAAACUUACCGGAGUCGACAGCAUGAUGAUGGCCAGGCUGAAGACCUUGCUUGAAGCGCUGAGAGGAGGUGCAUGGCCGUCGCCAGCUCGUACCGUGAGGCGUCCUCUUAAGUGAGGCAACGAGCGAGACCCUCAUCCACAGUUGCCAGCACAAGAUGGUAUCUUGGUGGGCACACUGCGGAGACUGCCCGCGAAAAGUGGGAGGAAGGUGAGGGCCACGGCAGGUCAGUAUGCCCCGAAAACUCCGGGCCACACGCGGGCUACAAUGGCUGGGACAGAAGGCCCCGACCUUGAAAGAGGAAGGAAAUCCUUAAACCCAGUCUCAGUUGGGAUUGAGGGCUGCAACCCGCCCUCAUGAACGUGGAUUCCCUAGUAAUCGCGUGUCAUCUAUCGCGCGAUGAAUACGUCCCUGCUCCUUGUACACACCGCCCGUCGUUGCACUCGAGUUGGGUUUGCCUGAGGCUGCAUUUUCCUUCGGGAAGGCGUAGACGAAGGUGAGUUCGAUAAGAGGGCAAAAGUCGUAACAAGGUA
rnacentral:rRNA from 1 species